rnacentral:lncRNA from 1 species
CCCCCAAGGCCUAGCUCAAGUGGCAAAAGGUGGAGGAUUUGUGGCUUAGGUCGCAGGUUCAAGCCCCACACCAUGCAAAGCGAUGCUCGGUAUUUAAGUGGAUCCCAAGGCUUAGCUCUAGUGGAAAAAGGUGGAGGAUUUGUGGCUUAGGUCGCAGGUUCAAGCCCCACACCAUGCAAAGCGAUGCCCGGUAUUUAAGUGGAUCCCAAGGCUUAGCUCUAGUGGAAAAAGGUGGAGGAUUUGUGGCUUAGGUCGCAGGUUCAAGCCCCACACCAUGCAAAGCGAUGCCCGGUAUUUAAGUGGAUCCCAAGGCUUAGCUCUAGUGGAAAAAGGUGGAGGAUUUGUGGCUUAGGUCGCAGGUUCAAGCCCCACACCAUGCAAAGCGAUGCCCGGUAUUUAAGUGGAUCCCAAGGCUUAGCUCUAGUGGAAAAAGGUGGAGGAUUUGUGGCUUAGGUCGCAGGUUCAAGCCCCACACCAUGCAAAGCGAAGCCUGGUAUUUAAGUGGAGAAGAGUAGAGGGGCGGGCCCAUUAUCCACCGAGUUUAGAAGGCUAUGAUUGGUCCAAA